rnacentral:rRNA from 1 species
GACGAACGCUGGCGGCGUGCUUAACACAUGCAAGUCGUACGGUAAGGCCCUUUCGGGGGUACACGAGUGGCGAACGGAUGAGUAACACGUGAGUAACCUGCCCACAACUUUGGGAUAACGCUAGGAAACUGGUGCUAAUACUGGAUAUGUGCUCCUGCUGCAUGGUGGGGGUUGGAAAGCUCCGGCGGUUGUGGAUGGACUCGCGGCCUAUCAGCUUGUUGGUGGGGUAGUGGCCUACCAAGGCGGCGACGGGUAGCCGGCCUGAGAGGGUGACCGGCCACAUUGGGACUGAGAUACGGCCCAGACUCCUACGGGAGGCAGCAGUGGGGAAUAUUGCACAAUGGGCGCAAGCCUGAUGCAGCAACGCCGCGUGCGGGAUGACGGCCUUCGGGUUGUAAACCGCUUUCAGCAGGGACGAAGCUUUUUGUGACGGUACCUGCAGAAGAAGCACCGGCUAACUACGU